rnacentral:misc_RNA from 1 species
GAUGAAGAACGCAGCGAAAUGCGAUACGUAAUGUGAAUUGCAAAUUCAGUGAAUCAUCGAAUCUUUGAACGCACAUUGCGCCCCCUGGUAUUCCGGGGGGCAUGCCUGUUCGAGCGUCAUUUCACCACUCAAGCCUCGCUUGGUAUUGGGCAACGCGGUCCGCCGCGUGCCUCAAUUCGACCGGCUGGGUCUUCUGUCCCCUAAGCGUUGUGGAAACUAUUCGCUAAAGGGUGUUCGGGAGGCUACGCCGUAAAACAACCCCAUUUCUCAGGUUGACCUCGGAUCAGGUAGGGAUACCCGCUGAACUUAAGCAUAUCAAUAAGCGGAGGA